GAAAGUGAACGGAGGUGGGAACCCAUGUCGGGCGCACCAUCGACCGAUCCAGAUGUCUUCGGAUGGAUUUGAGUACGAGCAUANCUGUUGGGACCCGAAAGAUGGUGAACUAUGCCUGAAUAGGGUGAAGCCAGAGGAAACUCUGGUGGAGGCUCGCAGCGGUUCUGACGNGCAAAUCGAUCGUCAAAUUUGGGUAUAGGGGCAAAAGACUAAUCGAACCAU
rnacentral:rRNA from 1 species